rnacentral:rRNA from 1 species
AUACGUAGGUGACAAGCGUUAUCCGGAUUUACUGGGCGUAAAGGGCGUGUAGGCGGUCUUGCAAGUCAGAAGUGAAAUUCCUGAGCUCAACUCGGGCGCUGCUUCUGAAACUGCAGGACUUGAGUGCUGGAGGGGAUAGCGGAAUUCCUAGUGGAGCGGUAAAAUGCGCAGAUAUUAGGAAGAACACCGGUGGCGAAGGCGGCUAUCUGGACAGUAACUGACGCUGAGGCGCGAAAGCGUGGGGAGCAAACAGUAUUAGAUCCCCUGGUAGUCCACGCCGUAAACGAUGAAUACUAGGUGUAGGGGGUAUCGACUCCCUCUGUGCCGCAGUUAACACAAUAAGUAUUCCGCCUGGGGAGUAAGGCCGCAAGGUUGAAACUCAAAUGAAUUGACGGGG